CGCCCCCUAGCAGAGCCCGUACGCUUGCGGGCUGCUGCCACGGGAGCAGCAACAAGUUCACGGCCCAGGUGCCUCUUACUGGCAGAAAAUAAAGCAGAACUCUCAUACUCAGGAUUCUGAAGGAUCCAGUUUUCAGACUUCCAGCCCUGCGACACGGGAGAAAAUAUGGAUGGAACUAGGGGUAUCAUCAAAGGAAGCAGGAAGAUGACAGCCUUCCUGCAAAGCCACAGCCCAAACCGGACAGGAGAACCUAAAAGGCCGUAGAUCCACGCGUCCCUCAGGCCCACUCCUCAGACCCCUCCUGCCCAGGACAUUUCAGCAUAUUAUUUGCUUCAAGGCUCGUCCUCUUCUUAGACAAGUUUCCCAGAAUUAAACAGAAAAAUCCCGGGAGUGGGCAGGUUGGCAGAAGGAAGAGAGAAGGCCCGUUCGGCUGUGUCGUGUGGGUGGAGAUACACCCUUGAGCAAUCUGACUUUGGGCGUCAGCAGCAGCAGCUGGGGGCUGUCCUCUGGUGGUCCUUGAGGGUAUUCUCUUCUUCUGUAGAGCAAGCUCCUUAAUCCUCUGACCCGGGAAUCACCCCUCAGGGUAAACAGGAAAACAGCAAAUUGGCAAGAUUAACUUCUUUUCAUCUAUGUCUGUGUUGGGAACAGCAUUGCAAGGUCGAAAGGUAAUGUUAUUGAAUAUUUGCAGUGACCUUCAGGUACCCGGCUUCAGAAUCUUCAGAAGUGUGUCAAUCCACUCUCCCUGUGUUUAGACGGAAGUGCAUGCAGACCAUUCAGGAGAGUAGUCACAUCUAAUCCAUGCCCACAACUAUGGAGAAUAUGUUCAAAUAUAUGUAAAUACAUCUAAAACACUAAGAGAAACGUGCCUCGUACCGUUCCAAGUAACUUACAUGCAUUAUAGCUACUCUAGGAGGUGUUAUCAUUACUCUUCCCAGCUUAUAAGGGUGUAACUCAAGAUGGGGAGUGUUUAAAGACCUCAUCCAAGUCAGCAGCAGAGGUGAGACUUAAACACAGGCAUCCUCACCACCCCAGAGGGUCCUCGAGACUAAAGGAACUGUGUUCUUACUGUGGUUUUUCUUUUCACACAAAUCCACAGGAGAGGGGGAAAACAUUUUCCUCUACCCUCUUAGGUUCUGUGCCCAGGGCCCUGCAAAUUAGACUGACAAAGACAGAGUAAACAGACAAAAGGUUGACUGCUACCUAUGCAUCCAGCAAACUUCAUAGAAAAGUGAAGGGCCGGAAAAACAGAUAGGCCUGGGCGCUUAUAUACUUUCUAACAAAGAAUGAUACAUUGUGGAGAAGUGACAAGACAAAGGAAAAAGAGGUUUGAGCUGGAGGUGGCCACUUGUGGGAAGUGACAAGGAAAUAUGCGGGGGCACUAACGGAAGAUAAUGGUUAUUUUAGGAGGCUUGUUUGCAGGCCCAUCUCAGUGCCGACUGCCCACCUUCCUCACGGCCUUACAGCACCCCCGGGAGAGGGGACUUAGAGCAGGCCUCAGUUCUCAGGAGUUUCUGCUUUUAGUCGGAGAAGGGAGGAUCUGAGAAGGUUUCUUUCAGCAUCUGUUGAUUAUCCUUUGCCUCCAGCUCAAGACAGUUGUUACGCCAAAGGGGCACAUCUCCGGGAAGCAUAUUCUCAUCCCCUUCAAAUCCAAGCCAUCUUUCUUCCAAUACAAGUUAGACUCAAAAAUAUUUUGAGUGUCUACAAGAGGGACAUUCUUUUCCUCGUUUUUAAUCAACUGGAGCCUACAAACCCCCUUUCUCACGUCCCCUCGCUGCUCCCCAGCCCCUCCCACAAGGCGGUUCUUCAUGAAGUCUAAUUUUAAUGCCUCCCGUGGCAACGCAAGCCCUCGCUCCCUUAUUCUGUCUCGAGGGAAAGCAGAACAGAUGCUUUCUACGUUUUUUCCGUGGUUGAAGAUUGCUGACGAGUGUGCGUGUGUGUGUGGGUGUGUGUAUGCGUAUGUGUGACAUUUCUAACUACAGAGAAGAAGAUGACUUUCCCGUCAGGAGUUUAGGGGAGACUGGCCCUUGGCAGAGCCGCUCAGCUUCCCUACACAUUCAACUUGUCUCACCUGCAUUGGUAACUGGCACGGUCUACCUGGAAGAUUUGGUGGGACACGUAUGCCACCACCACCACCCGAGUUAAUCGUCUUCUGAGACUCCUAAAGUGCCAACCACACUCUGGACUUAGGAAUAAACAGUUUCUAGCCCUCACCACCUGCAGUUCAUGGCCCAGACUGGUCACAGUGAGAAAAUUUACCACAACAUCCAAGCUUGGAGUAAUGAAGACAACAGAACCUCAGAGGAACCAUUUGUCUCCGAAAACGCCCCCCAGGAAUCAGCAGAAUGAACUUUCUCAGAAGCCGCAGCAGGUCUGGCUCGAGGGCAGGGGCUGAUGAUCUGCAAGACACAGUUCUAAGCAAUUUAGGUGUCAACCCACUGAAUCCAACCAACAGCCCUUCGAGGUAAGUACUAUUAUUAUUGCCGUUUUACGGGGAGAGAAACUGAGACACAGAGACACUGAGUAAUUUGCCCAAGGUCAUUCUGCAAGUAACCAGCAGAAGCAAGCUUUGAAUCCAGGCAUUCCAAUGAGCAGGGUGGAGGUGACCUACAGCCUGCUCUAGCUUAAUGACUGAGGGACCCUCCUGUCAUGGACUCGGGUAGGAUAGAGGUUGAAAGGGCUCGACUCCCCUCAGCAAUACCUCUAGCGUCUCAUACUGCCAGUGCUAGCCUAAUGGACAGCCACACUUGGGCCCCCUAGUGUCCGUGGGGAUGAUGAGAUUCCAGAAGAGCAGAGGCCAGGGUAGGUCAUCAUUAUCAUUACGGACAGCAAGGUCACAAUGGCCACUGGGGCUGCCAUGGUGUUCCUGAGGACAAGACAGAUGCGCAGCCAACAAAUGUAUUGCUUGAUCUAUAUGAUCACAAGAGAUUAAAAGUGGGUGAGCAGACAGCUGACAUCAGCUACCCGAGUGGAAAGUCAUGAUCGCUCACUCGGUUUCCAGACCUGAGCCCAUUCUCAGAUCUAGAACCAAUCAAUUGAAGGAGUGCCUGGGUCCUCAUGGAGAAUCCUGCAACACCAUAGCAGUAACUCCACCAGCCCUUCCCAAAGCAACAGAGCCAUUCACCAGAGAAUUAUGCACCAGAGAAAGGAGAACAUCAUGUGAUUUUCAAGGGCUGUGUGUAUAGGAUGUGAGUUGGCACUAACACUUAGGAGCCCAGAAUAGCAUCAGGGCCCAUGUGUGACAGAAGGAGCUUGGAGGCCGGGGAAGAAGUGGAGUCUGGACCCCAGUUCGUGUUAUUCUAGGUCUGCUGUGUUUGUUGCCUCCCUGUGGUCAUUUCUCUAGCCCCUGAGUGCAUAGUCUGCUGGAAUAUGCAUUGGUGGACUGUCACAUUGGUUGCCCGCCCUCUGGAAUAAGAGCCGUGCGCUAGUUAUUAAGCUGGUGUCUCUCAGCUUCAACCCCACCCCUCCUCCGUGUCCUGCUCUGUGAUGCUGGGGCUGGAGCUCUGCAAACCACAUUUCUGCUUUGCCAGCUGGCUCUGCACUCUGCCCUGCCAAUCGGGGAUACCAGCGGGAUAAGGAGCUGUGCUUCCUAUUGGCUUUGUGCUCCUGUCAGCAUCGCUCAGUCUCAUUCCUCACCGGCCUUGGCAGUUUGCCGCAGUCACAGCCGUUGGGUCCAGUUUGCAGCUUUUCCAACACCUGCAGGAUCACCUGGAGUGGCCCUCAGAAAUACCAGCUCCAGCUGGCCGGGGCCUCCUCGGAGUUCUGGACCGCAGCCCCGUGGGCCCCUGCUUUGAGCUCAGAGCCCUCAGCACCAGCUGACUAGUGGCCCCUUUCAAAGGUCUGAGUUUCAGUUCCUGCUCCAAGCUUCUAAGUGUGAAUAAUUCCAACUUCUUCCCCUGUCCCCAGCCAUGACAAUGGGAUCCGCCACCUGCAGUUUCAAGGAGACCUCAGUGUUCUCUCUUGGCCCUCUCAGCUUUUCAAUAACUACUUCUCAAUUGUUUACAUUAAACUCUCUCCGUUAAAAUGACAUGUGUGGUAUCUGUCUCCUGACUGGAUCCUGACUCAUACGUUGUAAGAAAAGCAGGUGAAAACCUUCAAAUUGCCCCUGUUGGCCACUGACAAGACAAUGGAAGCAAUGCUCCACCAUGAGGAGAAUGGCAGAGACUGGGGCCCCCUCAAAGACUCUAGAAGGCCCCAGGAGUCUAGGAGGUGAUCCUCAUCGUAUUCCCAUUUAGUUCACAGUCAGUCCCCCAGAAAAAGCCAAACGGAUCACGCUGCUGCUGGUGGUCAACUGUAAACUUGACCAGGUGCUAACCCCAGCGACAGCUGCUGCUCCAGAUGCAGCGUCUUUAUUUACUCCAACAGACCAGCAUGGCCUCUGGCGCUUGGGAUGAGGCUACUGAACUGGAAAAUGUGUUCUUUUCAACCCCCACUGGAAAGGAGCUCAAAAGCAGUUUGCUGUCACUUGGAACAGACAGAAAUAAGCAUUCACUGCCGUGCCCUCGGGGUUCUGUUAACCUCCCUGCUCUGUGUCACAAUAGACUUUAACAGGAUCUUGAUCAUCUGGUUCUUCUAUAGAGGGUCUUAGGGCUUCACUAUACCCACGGCUCCUUUAAUCGUGUUGGGAGCAGGAAGGGCCAAGUACUCUGGGUGCAGGGGUCACGCGCACGUGGUCAGAGAGCAGGAGGGGAACCUCACAAACAGUCGAGGGCUUUGCCUUGGUCAGUGAAGGUUUCCGGGCUCCAGUGGUCUGGGACACGCCAGGUCACUCCAAGCAGACAAAUUAGUGUCCUCUGUACCUCCUACCACUAAGAAAGUGGCACAAUGCUUGGCAGAGAUUUUCACAUUUCGAAGAUUGCAUCCAUCACACUUGAAUACUGCUCCAACCCAUUUGUUAGCGAGCCCAGAAGGCCGUCGGCUUUGAGUGGGUGUUAUUGGUUACACUGUGUCCCCCAAAAUCGAGAUGCCAAAGCUCUAACCUCCAGGACCUCAGAAUGCGACAAUGUUUGGACAUAGGGCCUUUAAAGAGGGGAUUAAGUUAGAACGACAUCACUGGGUUGUGCCCUCGUGCAGUCUGACUGACGUCCUUAUGAGAAGAGGAGAUCUGGACACAGAGAGACAGCAGGGCACACACACAGAGGAAAGGCCAUGUGAGGACGCAGCAAGAAGGCGGCCAUCGGCAAGCUAAGGAGAGAGCCCUCAGGAGAAAGCAAACCUGCCGACACCUUGAUCUCAGCCUUCCAGCCUCCAGAGCUGUGAGACGAUAAAGUUCUGUUGUUUAAGCUGCAGGCCUCUGGUACUUGGUGAUGGCAGCCCUAACAAAUGAACCCAGAGGGCCUGGAGCAAGAGAGAGCUCUGCAGCAGGUCCACGUGUGGCACAGGCAGCCCCAGCAUUAGGCUCCAGGACCCCGAGGGUCCCAUGGCGCUAGACCGUACACUGACAAACCUCCAUAGGAGAAGCACAAGGCAGACCCUGGAGGUCUGGAGCAAGCUCAGCCGUCUGGAGCAGAGAGCUCUCCACUGCUCAGAAAGCAGCUCCUGAACGUUUCUGGGCCCAUGGCGUGACUGCACACCUGAGCAUGGUACCUCGAGUGACUGUGCAACCAGCACUGUCUUUACACGUUGGGUGUUAUCAGAACCAGCAGGCCACAGAGGGUGCAUGGAAGAAAUCGAUCACAUCCUGGACUUAGAUCCCCUCAGAGAUAAAUGCCCAGGUUGCUUCACCAGGUAAGCAGCCUCAGCCUGCAGAAACGCUGGCCAAGGGGGCAGGCCUUUGCAAAGGCUGGAAGAGAAGGAGGCGACGGAUGGAUGUCUUGGGACCACUCAGCAGCAGCAGCGAGACCUUGGCCCACCCAUCUUCCUGUCGUUGGUUCUUUUUCUUUAUCUGUGUGACCUUGAAGAAUCAGUGGCAGGACAGAGAGAGCUAACCCGGGCACGGGGUUGUGAGUGGUGCAGAGUCUGGAUGGCAGCAGAUGCUGUCGGGGGCCUGCCCACAGCCCUCACCCUUAGCGCUUCAGAGCGCACAACCUUCCACCUGUCAGCACCUGCGGGUUUUCUCUGGCCUCCAGGGCAACUCUACUCCUGCGCACAGCACCUGGAGGUGCCAGGGAAAUUGCACCACGUCCCCCGGAGCCACCUUAACUGAUAACUGAUGGGGACCGGUGCAAACAUCCCUGCUCCCUCACCUCUUAGGUGGGACGACUCUGAGCCCUGUGUUUUAGGGGCGCACUCAGAGUUCCCCAGAGGGAUUAACUUCCAGUCCCUUCAAGGGCUACUUGCUUGAUAAGAACCUUGAUGUGCCUCCCUCUCUUCCCUGUGUCCCUUACUCCCCUACCACAAAUUCCUGGGAUCAUCUCCAAAAUAAAUGAUUUGCUUUAUUCUCUCAGUGUCUGCUUCUGGGGGAACUCAAGCUACAAUAAGACGCUGCAACCACCAAAACAGACAAUCUCUAGUCAACACACAUCCCUAAUUCCUUCUCGUUGCUGUCCAUGUUGUCUC